GACGAACGCUGGCGGCGUGCUUAACACAUGCAAGUCGAACGGAAAGGCCCUGCUUUUGUGGGGUGCUCGAGUGGCGAACGGGUGAGUAACACGUGAGUAACCUGCCCUUGACUUUGGGAUAACUUCAGGAAACUGGUGCUAAUACCGGAUAGGAGAUCCUGCUGCAUGGUGGGGGUUGGAAAGUUUCGUCGGUUGGGGAUGGACUCGGGGCUUAUCAGCUUGUUGGUGGGGUGGUGGCUUACCAAGGCUUUGACGGGUAGCCAGCCUGGGAGGGCGACCGGGAACAGUGGGAUAGGGGUAGGGGCCAGACGCCUACUGGAAGCAGGAGUGGGGAACAUUGCAAGACGGGCGGAGGCCUGGUGCAGCAUCGUCGCGUGCGAGAUGACGGCCUUUGGGUUGUAAGCGCUGUCGCCUGUGACGAAGCGUGAGUGACGGUAAUGGGUAAAGAAGCACCGGCUAACUACGUG
rnacentral:rRNA from 1 species